GACGGCCAGUGGCCCGUCGUGGUGGGGCAUUCGCUCGGUGGGCCGAUAGCGGCAAGAUUGGCCGCGAUGUAUCCCGAUCGCGUCGCGGGGCUCGUCA
rnacentral:tRNA from 1 species